rnacentral:lncRNA from 1 species
CAGCCGUCAAGCAGCGGCAGCGGCAUUUUCCUCUCCGGUCCGUUUUCUGUCAGUAGACUAGCAGAGGUGAGCAGCAGCCGGCCUCCCGCUCCCAGCCACUGCGGGCAGCGGGUCGCGGCUCCCUGCCCAGGAGAGGCGAACCACAACAAACCCGACGCGUGCUGGAGGUAGUUCUCCUCUUCCACCUCUCUUUCUCCUCGGUCCCUCCUCCUCUCUCCCUGCUUGCACAUUCGUCCCGCGGCUCCUCCAGCCCUGGACCUUCCAGACUCAAGAUAAUGAAAUCAAGAAGUUUUGGAUCGUUCUUCUUGCUGCUUGAGAUUUAUUUGUCGACUACCCUGGGAUGGAUGCGUUCAGAGACAAGCAGAAGUGUUUCCUCAGAUGUGGGAGGGCUGCAAAAGAAGGAACUUAGAAGCCUUGAAGUAACAAGAAGAAAAGGUAAGAAAGCAUUUCUAUCAGCUGUUGUCAUUGGGAAGUAAUUUUCUCCAGCUGAAGGAAACUGCAGAUUUGCUG